rnacentral:lncRNA from 1 species
UAUAUGUGCAGACUUUUUCUAUAGGUAAAUUGCUUGCUGUGGGAGUUUGGUGUACAGACUUUCAUCACCCAGGGUAACAUAGCAAGAAGGUCCUCACAAGAUGUCAGCACCAUGCUCUUGGACUUCCCUACUUCUAGAACUGUGACCAAAUAAAACCCUAUUCUUUAUAAAUUACCUAGCUUUUGUUAUGCUGUUACAACAGCAGAAAAUGGAUUAAGACACCCACUCACAUAUAUUUUCUUCUUUGUCUUUUUAAUACUGUGAAACAGAAUUUUUUAGUUAAUUUAGUUAUUCUUAUAUUAGACUUUUCCAUUUAUGAAAGAAUGAGUUCUUACAAUGGACCUCUUUGAUACCAUUGACUUGAAUGUGUAAUAGGAAGAACUCUAAGGCUUCUGAAAUAAUCCAACUGUUUAUCUGCAAAACCACCUGCAGCCAGAAAGUGAGAUAACAAAAUCACUGAAGAAAUCAAAACAUGAGAGUUGAAUCACAAAACCUCACUUUAUCUUGAUGAUUUUCUAUGGAAGGUAUAUACCUCAGCACAUCGAUAAAAGGACAAUUUUGUGUACUAAAACAAAGGAGGUCAUUAUAAGGAUAUAAAAACCAAUGGUGUUAAAAGCAGCACUAAUGCUCAGCAGACUAAAACCAAGUAAUCCAGUGUAAUAAAAUGGUUAGGUUGGAGUCUUAAUAGAUUGUAAUUGUUAGGAGAAUAAAUCACAGCUAAAAUAUUUCUCUAUCUAUGAGAUAAGCAUUGGAAAUAAUUUUAAAAUUCAGAGACCUCAACACUAAAGGUAGAAAAUAUUUCCUUUCCUAUUAGAGUACUAAAAAAGAGUAACUGAAAUGAAUAUUACUAAACUAACAUUUUUUCUAUUUAAGUGUUUUGCUAUCACAAACUGAAAGAAAAAUUAACGUUUCAGAUUAUUUAGGAGAAUGAGCCAGGGAUUGCAAAUAUCUCACCUCAAAUAUCGUUUUUGUUUUUUGUUUUUUGUUUUUUUUUUUUUGAGAUGGAGUCUUGGUCUGUUGCCCAGGCUGGAGUGCAGUGGCACGAUCUCAGCUCACUGCAACCUCCACCUCCCAGGUUUAAGUGAUUCUCCUGCCUCAACCUCCCAAGUAGCUG